UGGGAACGCUCCAGCCGUAUUUCAGCUCGCC
rnacentral:piRNA from 1 species